AUUGAACGCUGGCGGCAGGCCUAACACAUGCAAGUCGAACGAGUGGCGGACGGGUGAGUAAUGUCUGGGAAACUGCCCGAUGGAGGGGGAUAACUACUGGAAACGGUAGCUAAUACCGCAUACCAUCGGAUGUGCCCAGAUGGGAUUAGCUAGUAGGUGGGGUAACGGCUCACCUAGGCGACGAUCCCUAGAUGGACUGAGAGGAUGACCAGCCACACUGGAACUGAGACACGGUCCAGACUCCUACGGGAGGCAGCAUGGGGGAAUAUUGCACAAUGGGCGCAAUCCUGAUGAAGCCAUGCCGCGUGGAUGAAGAAGGCCUUCGGGUUGUAAAGUACUUUCAGCGGGGAGGCGUUACCCGCAGAAGAAGCACCGGCUAACUCCGUGCCAGCAGCCGCGGUAAUUC
rnacentral:rRNA from 1 species